UGAAUACGAGACGCUAAGGCGUCGAAGUAGUGUAUGUCAUACUUCCAAGAAAAGCUUGCACUGUCAUAGAUAAAAAACGCCUGUACCAUAACCGACACAGGUGGGUAGGUAGAGUAUACUAAGGGGCGCGAGAUAACUCUCUCUAAGGAACUCGGCAAAAUAACUCCGUAACUUCGGGAGAAGGAGUGCCUUAUUUUUAAGGCUGCAAUAACAAGAUCCAAGCAACUGUUUAUCAAAAACACAGGUCUCCGCUAAGUCGUAAGACGAUGUAUGGGGGCUGACGCCUGCCCAGUGCCAGAAGGUUAAAGAAGUUGGUUAGCUUUUGCGAAGCUGAUAACUGAAGCCCUGGUGAACGGCGGCCGUAACUAUAACGGUCCUAAGGUAGCGAAAUUCCUUGUCGGGUUAGUUCCGACCCGCACGAAAGGCGUAAUGAUUUGGAUACUGUCUCGGAGAGGGGCUCGGUGAAAUAGACUUGUCUGUGAAGAUGCGGACUACCUGCACCAGGACAGAAAGACCCUAUGAAGCUUUACUGUAACUUGAAAUUGAAAUUGGACUUUAUUCGCGCAGCAUAGGUGGGAGGCGUUGAUUAUAAUCUCGUGGGAUUAUUGGAGCCAUCAGUGAGAUACCACUCUUGUAAUGUUAGAUUUCUAACUUUGAAUCAUUAUCUGGUCAAAGAACAGUUUCAGGCGGGCAGUUUGACUGGGGCGGUCGCCUCCUAAACGGUAACGGAGGCGUACAAAGGUUUCCUCUGAACGGUUAGAAAUCGUAUCUAGAGUGUAAAGGCAUAAGGAAGCUUGACUGUGAGACCUACAAGUCGAGCAGGGACGAAAGUCGGUCUUAGUGAUCUGACGGUACUGAGUGGAAAGGCCGUCACUCAACGGAUAAAAGUUACUCUAAGGAUAACAGGCUGAUCUCCCCCAAGAGUUCACAUCGACGGGGAGGUUUGGCACCUCGAUGUCGGCUCAUCGCAUCCUGGGGCGGUAGUACGUCCCAAGGGUUGGGCUGUUCGCCCAUGAAAGCGGUACGCGAGCUGGGUUCAGAACGUCGUGAGACAGUUCGGUCCAUAUCCGGUGUAGGCGUUAGAAUAUUGAGAGGAGCCUUCUUUAGUACGAGAGGACCGAGAAGGACAUACCUCUGGUGUACCAGUUAUCGUGCCAACGGUAAACGCUGGGUAGCUAUGUAUGGAGUGGAUAACCGCUGAAAGCAUCUAAGUGGGAAGCCCACCUCAAGAUAAG
rnacentral:rRNA from 1 species